rnacentral:tRNA from 1 species
GUCCCCUUCGUCUAGAGGCCUAGGACACCGCCCUUUCACGGCGGUAACAGGGGUUCGAAACCCCUAGGGCU